CAAGAAGCAGCUCACAUCCUUGAGAUCCUUGGUCUCUUUGUGCAGAGGGAUGCAGAGAAUUUAGGGGUGACCCUAUCUCCCUGUACCAUCAGCAUACACACAGAGAUGUCAUCAAAGAUGUUGUCUCAUCGUGAGAACAAGAUACC
rnacentral:lncRNA from 12 species